UGUAUUUUUUAGAAGGUUUAACUUUAAUUUUAUUUAGCCUAAGAAGGGCAUGUCACUCAAACUCCGCUGGUCAUUUAUAAAAAUAUUUCAAUUGUGUUUCCAAGGAGCUGUCUUUCUGGCCUAAGUGGCUGGUGCCGGAGGUUGUGAAUGCUAAUGCAGAGGUCGGGAGAUCGAUGGGGAGGGAGAGCAGGAGAGAAAAAACUGGGAGGGGCAGAGACGCCCAGAAAGAGACACCGAAGACGCAAAGAAGAAAGGACAAGCAGGGAGACAAAGAAAGAAAGAGUGUGGAGUGGGACAAGGACCACCGACUCAAAAGAAGCAGGUCAGGAAAGGAAAAGGCAGAAAGACAAGCAAACUCCCAGGGUCGUGUGUUGGGAGACAGGCCAGCAUAUGGACCUUAGACAGGCGCCCCCACCUCCUUCUCCUCCGGCCCCUCUGCGGACACCCAGAAGUGACAGCCAUCGCCUCGCUGAGUUCAUCCCAGCCAAGGACAAAUGGAUUUCACAGUUUAUCAAGGGAGGAAGGGGCGUGUCACAGACUCAUCAACCGUGACCCACCUUUGGUCCCUGCUUUCCUGCCUGGUCUCAGCCACAGCUCCCUGGCCAGAGCUUCCUCACUGGGCUGGCUCCCAGGCCCUGCCUCCGGGGAUCAGCAAGGCUGAGAGAGAUGUCACCCUCGAUCUUCUGUGCUGUUCGGUGCCUGCCAGAGCCUCUGCCCCACCUGGCCAUGAGACCCUGCCUCUUAUCUGGGGCUCUCCACUCCGCAGGCAAGACAAAACCCCAGGACGCGGCGGAUGAAAUAAUACAUGCUCCCUCUCUAGAUUUCGCUCUCUGCUAUUAACUUUUUCUGCUCCUCUACCUCCUCCAGCCUCAUUUGAGACAAUAAUAAACGCUCCUCACCCUCACCGCCA